rnacentral:rRNA from 1 species
AGGGUUUGAUCCUGGCUCAGAACGAACGCUGGUGGCGUGCUUAACACAUGCAAGUCGAACGAGAAAGUUUCCUUCGGGAAAUUAGUAAAGUGGCGCAAGGGUGAGUAUCACGUGAAUAAUCUGCCCUCGAGAUCGGGAUAACAUGGUGAAAACUAUGCUAAUACCGGAUAAGACCACAUUUCAUAAGAAAUGCGGUAAAAGGAGUCUCAAUCUUCACUCGAGGAUGAGUUCGCGCAACAUUAGCUUGUUGGUGGGAUAAAAGCUCACCAAGGCUACGAUGUUUAGCCGGCCUGAGAGGGUGAUCGGCCACACUGGAACUGAGACACGGUCCAGACUCCUACGGGAGGCAGCAGUGGGGAAUAUUGCGCAAUGGGCGAAAGCCUGACGCAGCAACGCCGUGUGAGCGAUGAAGGCUUUAGGGUCGUAAAGCUCUGUCAAAUGGGAAGAAUUUUGACGGUACCAUUAGAGGAAGCCCCGGCUAACUCCGUGCCAGCAGCCGCGGUAAUACGGAGGGGGCAAGCGUUGUUCGGAAUUAUUGGGCGUAAAGCGUAUGUAGGCGGUUAAACAAGUCAGGCGUGCAAGCCCGUGGCUCAACCACGGAAUUGCGUUUGAAACUGUUUAACUUGAGUACAGGAGAGGAAAGCGGAAUUCCCAGUGUAGCGGUGAAAUGCAUUGAUAUUG